rnacentral:rRNA from 1 species
GACGAACGCUGGCGGCGUGCCUAAUACAUGCAAGUAGAACGCUGAAGGAGGAGCUUGCUUCUCUGGAUGAGUUGCGAACGGGUGAGUAACGCGUAGGUAACCUGCCUGGUAGCGGGGGAUAACUCUUGGAAACGAUAGCUAAUACCGCAUAAUAGUAGAUGUUGCAUGACAUUUGCCUAAAAGAUGCAAUUUCAUCACUACCAGAUGGACCUGCGUUGUAUUAGCUAGUUGGUGGGGUAAAGGCUCACCAAGGCGACGAUACAGAGCCGACCUGGGAGGGGGAUCGGCCACACUGGGAAUGAGACAACGGCCAGACUCCUACGGGAGGGAGCAGUAGGGAAUCUUCGGGAAUGGACGGAAGGCUGACCGAGCAAAGGCGGGGGAAUGAAGAAGGUUUUCGGAUCGUAAAGCUCUGGUGUAAGGGAAGAACGAAUGUGAGAGUUGAAAGUUCACGCUGUGACGGUAUCUAACCAGAAAGGGACGGCUAACUACGUG